GCCCGCCCUUGUACAGCUUCAUGUUGAGGCUGCUUGUUUUCUGAGCUGACAGGAAUCUGAGGCAGACUUGGUUGAAUUCACCUGCAAUCUUCUGAAAGUGUGACCAGGGUCUUAGCUACAAACUAGGGCGGUAAGGAUCUGAAGUCUCCUGGAAGCCUGACCCGGGUCUGGGCUGGGGUUGGAACGGCUGGAAUGCGGAUGUUUUAGGAACUGGAUGGACCUUGACUAGGAGUUGAAUCAGGACUGUCUGCUGUGGACCUUGGUUCUUCUCUUCGUGGCAACUGCAUGUGGCUUCCUGUAUCGCCUCACAGCCUAGUGGCUGGCUUCCAAGAAGGACUAUGCCAACAGUAAGCAUUCCAAGAUGGAGGAAGUGGAAGCUGCCAGAGCCAUUAAGGGUCAGCUUGGAAACUGGCCAAGUAUCACUUCCUCUGUAUUUUAUUAGUGAAAGCGCUGAGGAGCUGGCCUGCAGUUCGUGUAGGAGAGACCUGCAGAACAGCCUCUCCGAGGAAUGUGUCCAUCUGGGUCAUUCAAAUCGUAGUUGAGGAUGUUUAAAAAUAGCUGUUCUUUUGUUAUCUCAGAUAAACGAAACGUGAAAUAAAUAACCACGUGGCCCAGCAAUCUCUCUUCUGGGUAAAGGGGUCGAAAGAAAGGCCUUGAAGAUGCGUCUGCAUACCCAUGUUUAUAGCUAUGUUAUUCACCAUGGCCAAAAGGUGUAAUGGGCCUCUUUUCCAUUGGUGGGUGCAUGGCUAAACAAAAUAUGAUGCUGUCUUCAUUCUUUUGGCCUACUAUAACAAAAUAUCAGUGACUGGGUGGCUUAUAAGCAAGAGAAGUUUGUUUCUUAAUGUGAUGGAGACAAGGCAAUCUAAGAUCUAAGUACAGGUAGAUUUAGUUUCUGGUAAGAGCUCUCUUUGACUUUUCUCGUUACAGAAUUUUUACACGGUGGCAAGUGUGAGCAAUCUCUGUGUGGUAUAUUUCAAUUCUACACUUGUCCCUUGUGAUCCAUCACCUCCCAAAGUCUCUGCCUCCUAAUAUUACUAGGAUUUGUAAUAUUGGGUGCUAGGAUUUCAGCAUAUAAAUGUGUGGAGGAGACAAAUGGUCAGACCACUGUAGACCUGUGUAUACAGGGGCAUAUUGUUUAUCCUUAAAAUGAAGUGAAAUUUGUAAUGUGGAUGAGACUGGAAUGGACCUAUGUUAGGUAAAAAUAAGCUAAGGGGAAAGAAAAGAACAUUGUGUGAGUCUCUUGAUGGGCGGGCGGGGCUUAGAGCAGCCAAAUCAGCAGACAGAAAGGACAGAGGUUACUAAGGGCUGGAGGAGAAGGGAAUGGAAGUGACUGCUUUGGGUGUAGUUUCAUUUGAGGACAUAGAUAAAAAAUAUUGUAACUGAUUAAUCUGCUGAACUGUACACUUAAAAUACUUCAAUGGUGAGUGAAUUCAUUAUACAUUUCUUAUAAAUGUACACAAUAAAAACAUUGUUCUGAA
rnacentral:lncRNA from 1 species